AUUUUUAACAUGAAUGUUUAGACCACGAUGGGCCUUGAGAGAUGACUGAAAAUGGAACCCUGCUCGAAACAUUUCAAGAGGCCGGAGGGCACCCAACUUUUCUCAAAGGUUUCCGUUACCCCCCUGGCGAGGUGAAUAUUAAGGUGGAAGGGGGAAAGCAAACCCUGCAAGUUUUUUGCAAACCUAUCCUGCACAGAAGAGGAGGUGAUCACCAACAAAUCAAGAGAUUUAAAUACUCUCGUAAUUCAAGCCAGGAUGGAUAUUCUCCAAGGAGCGGGGAUAUUUCCAAUGAUAGCGGGAUAUUUAAUGAUAAUUCAGAGAGAAAUUCUUCUCUUCUACUGGAUUCAUUGGGUCGGACUUAUCCAUCCUCAAACAAAAGCUCUAGACUUGAAGUUCUGUCUGAUUUGCCUGAGGUCCAUGGUAUGUCUACCGCCAAGAGAAAAACAAGAACAAAACGAAAACCAAUCCCAAUCCAAUAUUCCGGAGAGCGGCAGAACAAGAACCAGGAUUCUCAUUGGAGUGCUAGACGCAUGGUGCAGCUGUCGAGAGAAAACAGAGAACUUGAGGAAAACCUGCUUCAAAUCCAGAAUCAGUUGUUAACUCUAGACAAGGUCUACACCCAGUUAAAACUAAAUAAGACCUUAAUGUCGGAGCAGUGCGAAGAGGAACACUCUAAAGAAUUAGAAAAUGCACUAAGAGUAAAAAACAAUUUGAACGCCGAAUUAGAGAUUGCUCUGAGAGCCAGGGAUUGGUAUCAAUUGCAAAUGAAAGAGCUAAGAACAAGUUGCAAUGAACUAGCUAGUCAGCUUGUCCUAUCUAAAGAGGACAGUUUGAAUUGGAAAUCCCAAUAUGAAUCUGUAUCUUUUAAACUGAGAGAAACUGAAGAAAAACUUAGAGAUGAUCGAGUGAAGUUUUUGAGGGACAAACAAAAAAUAAUUACAAGGCUUGAAUCCUUUGAAGCUAGUCUAGAAACCUCUGAGGCCAAUGUAUCUGAGUAUGACCCAACCCUAGAACUUGUUGCUCUGACCGCUAAACUCAACUUGAAGGAUGGAAUGCUAAACAAUCAGGGGAAGAGAAUUCAAGAUUUGGAGUCAGAAAUACAAACCCUUCGCAAUCUUUGUCAAAGUUUAGAGGCAAGUGCCGGUGUCAAACAACUCUGUAGGUUAUCUGAUUCACCCAAGAAGAAGAAUCAAGAAUCAAAUCAUCUGGAAAAAUCCUUCAAAGAUUUUACAGAAAAAACAAAACUUGACAGUUCAAGCGAAACAGAUAAAAUUUAUAACACAGAAUCGUUAGCAUUAUUAGAACAAACUAUAGAAAAACGAACUAAAGAAUUAGGCAUUUUAGAAACAGAUAUUGAAAACUAUACUGCUCAACUCAUUCGCAUUCAUUCAGACAUAGAUAAAAAAUUUACAACAAUUGACCAAAUUCAUACGGAGAUUGAUGAUAAGAAAUCUGCCCUGAAAGCCUUGAAAUCUGAUUUUGAAUCCCGGAACACGGAACUCUCUGAUUUAGUGAUGACUAUAAAAACAAGAAACGAAGAUCUACAAACAAUUAAUUUGACUUUUGUGCAGAACUCUGAAAAUUUUGAAAGUAAGCUGCUUGAGCUCAACCAACUCUGCGCUGAAAUUAAAAAUAAACAAGAUAUACUUGAUAAACUAGAAAAGACACUAGAAGUAAAAUCUUCCCUGCUUGAAAACUUAGAACUUAAAUUAUCGAAUCCAGAUAAAUUUGUUUUUGAAACGCCCAUUAAUAGCCAAGAAGAAGAGUGUCCCAAGGACAAAGAAACCUUAGGAAGCCUGAAAAACGUAGAUAACAAUGAAGACGAAUGUUCCAGUAUUGAAACCAACAGUGUGACGCACGAUCCUGAUUUUAAGCUACAGAACAAUGAACUCCUGAGUAGAGAUGAGUACAACAAGAACUGCGAGCACAAGGAGCAGCUGCUGGUGAAGAUAGAGAAUGUGGAGCAGAAGCUGAAGAUUGACGAGCUGGAGAGAACCUUGAGGGAGUCAAUCAACAUCAUGGCGGAUAUGAACAUGGAGAACGACCAGCUAAGGUCCAAGGUUUUUAACUUGGAAGAGAAAACAGUUGAGGUCAAGGACGACAAUGUUGAAGAAAAUGAGAAUGAUUCAGAAGAGGUAAAAGAAGACUCUGAAAAAAUGACAUAUAAAGAACUUGAAGAAGAGGUGAUUAAAGUUAGGCUUAUAUGUGGAAGGAUAGAGGAGGAAAAAACAAAGAUCUUGUUGAAUUUAACAGUAUUAGAACAAGAAAAAUAUGAACUUGAGACUAAAUAUAGAAUGGUAAAGGAAACAGAGGAGAAAAAGAACAAGGAAUUGACAGAUUCGGAGACUAAAUCUGAACUAGUAGAAGAGGAAAAUAAUGAAUUAAAGUUAAAAUGCGUCAGUUAUGAAAAAUAUUUAGCAAAGAUGACCGAGGAGAUGGAAGAAUUGAAGAUUAACUUAACAGACAAGGAUGAAGAGAAAAAACACCUAAUCAAGAUGAAAGAAGAACUUGUGAUGAAAACUACGAAUCUAGAACAGGAAAAAAUAGAAAUGUUGACAACUCAAGAAAUGAGAAAGAAGGAGAAUGAAGAAAUCAAGAAGAAAUAUUUGAAAAUGGAAAAGGACAAAGAGGAAAUAAAGACAAAUCUGACGCAAUUGAAAGAGAAAGAACUUAAAAUAUCUUCAGUUGAAGAAGACAUGAAAAAUAUGGAGAAAAAAUAUGAAGAGCUGAAGAUUUCAUAUUUUGACUUAGAGAAGGAUAGAAUGGAGAUUAAAGCAGAUCAAGUUUGUUUGAAAUCUGAACACGAAAGAAUGAAGAAUGAGUGCUUGGAUUCAGAUAAACAGAAACAGAAAAUUAAAAAUCAAUAUGAUCUUUUGCACACAGAGUUGGAUCUAAGACAGAAUCAGAUUAGUAGUUUAGAUGUAGAAAAUAAAGUCAUUAAAAACCAUCUAACCCAACUCAAGGAAGAAAAUGAGGGGUUAAAAUUAGAGUUGGCAAGACUUGAACAAAUGAGAAUUAGUUGUGAAACCAUUUUUAAAGAUACUGAGUUAGAGAAGGUUGAACUUGAGAGCGUACUAGCUCAGCUAAAUACUGUACAUAAUAGCAUUCAAAACGGGGCUUGCAAGGAAUCGGAAACAAAUUUGAAACUUAAGAAUCUGGAACAAGAAAUGGAGAAGUAUGAAAACUUGGAACAGGAACUGGAGAAGUAUAAAAACUUGGAACAGGAACUGGAGAAGUAUAAAAACUUGGAACAGGAACUAGAGAAGUAUAAAAACUUGGAACAGGAACUAGAGAAGUAUAAAAACCAGGAACAGGAACUGGAGAAAUUUAGGAACCUGGAACAGGAACUGAAGAAGUAUAAAAACCUAGAGCAGGAACUGGAGAAAUUUAGGAACCUUGAACAGGAACUGAAGAAGUAUAAAAACCUAGAACAGGAACUGGAGAAAUUUAGGAGCUUGGAACAUGAAUUAGGGGACGAACUAGAAACGCUGAAGUCCGAAUUUAAAACAAAAACCGAAGAAUUACAAAAAUCCACCUUAGAACUUAAAUCUUGUUUGUCAGAAAAUAUCCUUCUACAAAACCAGAUAGUGAUGCUACAAACCAAAGAGAAAGAAUUAUUAGAGCUUGUUGAAAACAAAGCAGAGAUUAUAAAAGAACUAGAAAAGUCUGCAGAAUGUUUAAAAAAAGAAUUAACCAAAAUGUCUGCUGAAUCUAGAGAGCAGAUUUUAGUUUUAGAACAAGAAAAAAUCCAGUUUUAUACAGAACUUGAAGUAUGUGUCGAACAGAGUUCUCGGUUAAAGUUAGACCAGGAAAAUGUUAAAGAAUUAAUGGAAAAUAUGAAAUUAGAAAUCAACUUAUCUUUCAAUAAAUUAACUGCGGAGAAUGAGAAGUUGAAAGCAGAACUGUCCAAUCUUAUCUCAAGGAUUGGAUCAGAGCAGAGAGAGAAGAAUCUAAUAAUCACCAGUCUACACCAGGACCUGGAGAACUUAAGAGCUCAAGAGAAGAGUUUAGAACAGGGGCGGAUACUGCUCCAGGACCAGGUGGAUCAGGCAAGGAGUAGUCUAGUACAAGAGAAGGCUAAUGUUGCACUUCUACAGAGAGAAAUCAGCCAGGUUCAGUUUAAGUUGAGUGAGGAGGAGAGAUUGACCAGCUCCCAUAUCUCUAGUCUAGAGUCUAGACUGGAGAUCCUGCAUCAGGAACGGGACGGAUUGAGAACAGAGAGAUCAAACCAUGUUUUUCAACUCAAACAAAUGAACAGAGCUCUUAGAUCUAGUCUUGCGCAUAUAAGGAGCUUGAGAUGUGUGCUGGAAGGAGUAGUACCACUCCCUAGCCUAGAGGAGAGGAGUAUAUUAAACCUCUUGGAUACUAAGUCUAGAAGUAGUAAACUCAGGGACCUGCAACUCUGUAUCUCCAGCCUAAGGGACGAAGUGAAGGAUCUGAAUAGUGAACUAGGUUCUCGAUCCUCAACUCCUCUUAACACAGGAAAUAAGGGAGCUGGAAGAAUUAGUCCGUUUCUCCUCUCUUCAGAUUCAUCUUUAACUACUCCCUCCCUCAAUACCUCUCCUCUACCCUUUCCUCCCUCCAUCUCUACAUCACCUGCAUCACUCUCCCUCGGCGGAUCCGCCCUCUCCUCUCCAAACCACGCCCAUUUUUAACAAUUCUUUGAAAGUCAAAAAUGAGACUCAUAAAACUGUAGAAAAUGAAAAUGACAUUUAAGCAAUCGUAUUUUGGUUUGAUGUCGUUUUAAUGCUAAUAGUUUCACCAAUCAAACUUUUGAAGUGAAACGGGUCUGUGUACACUGCACAAUGUCUGUGUGAGCCCCUCUGUAAUAUGCGUGUUUGAAUUAGGCGUCGGUUUAAUUAUGCAUUUAAUUAUGGAAGAUGCAUUAGGAUUAGGGGUUCAAGCGAGAAAGAAAAAUCGUAUCGCGAAAAAAAGUUCGACGAAAAUUUCGUUUCAAAGAUUCUUUCUUGUAAUUGGCUGGCUAAUGGCUAGCUGAAUUUAGAUGAACGUACAUGGAAGGACAGAAACUUAAUAAAAUAGUUAGAGAAAUCAAAUUCACUUUAUCAAACAUUUAUUAAAGUAAAUAAUCUAGCUUCUCCACAACAUUAUUAAUAUGAUAGUUUCAAGUUUAAUAAAACUUGAAAUGUUGAGCUCUCAGAGCAGAGAAUUCCACAAUUUUUUUGCGCAAUUAAUUGUUGCAGCUACAACACUAAUGGUUUUCGUGGAUUUUUUUCUCGCGAAAACAUUUUCGCGAAAUUUCGCAUCGUUAUCGCACUUUUUCGCUUUAUUCAUUUUCGCAAAAAAAUGCGAAAUUUCGCGAAAAAUUUUGCCAAUUGCGAAACGUUUUGUUCGCGGAAAGCCCUAUGCAGGAGUCCCAAAAUUAAACUUACGCCAAAGAGAGCAAAACUUUGUAUGGGGGCAAGAGAGAUGCCACAAAAAGUUAUCCCGAAAUGUUUAACCUUUUUGACGUUUAUUGGAUUCAGACAAACAAACAAACAAACAGCCAAGCAAAGUUUAUACAUUGAUAAAAGUUUCUCUGUUAGAAGUAAUGAGAUCUUAGAGAAAUAAUUUGUGAUUGACUAAUCAAUAAUCAUGCAAAACAGCUUUCAUCCUUUUAAAAAAUUUCCAUUUUAAAUGGAAGAUUAUAUUUACUGAAUUAAAACUGAUAAAAAAUGCGCCCACUGGAAACAUUUUCAACUAUUUACAUUUUAUUAAAUGUUAUUUUUCUAAAUGUAUAAGAAAGAAGUGGAUUUUGAUAUUAAUGCAAACUAUCAUCGGUUAUCUUUUGAUAUUAUCUUAUUUUCGAGUAAGCAGCAAAAUCCAAGAAUCAUAUUUUAACCAUAAUUGUUUUUUUUUUAUGUUUUUAAUCAAAAUAUUUGAUGAAUUCUGCACGUGUUUUGGAUUUGUUUAGAUGAAUUUUAUUUUAUUAUCACUGUAACCCCCCCCCCUGCCCCCCCUUUCCCUUAUAACCAUACCUUUUAGAAGAGGGGGUAGAUUAUGCUUUAACCCCCGGGGGUUUGACAUUUUUUCAGUAAUAACCUAGUCAUUAGGAUAUUUUUUUUCUCGAUUUUUGCGCAUUUUUUAAUCACCCAAGAAGAUAAGCUUAUCAAGAAAUCUGAUUUUAUUUUCAAAUGAGAGAUAAUGAUAUUUUAUUUUUAUUACGCAUCAUAAUUGUGCAAUGUGAAAUUUGUUGAAGUGCAAUGAAAUCUUAGUUGAAUUGUUUUAGUGAUGGUAUUUUUUCAAUUUACCCAUGUUAGGUUGUUUUUACGAUUUUCCUUCGUUUGUUAUAAAAUUAUUAGUUUAUGUUAUGAUUUAUCGUGUUAAUAAUGUAUCUCUAUUUAUGGGCAAUUAAUAUCUAUAUUGGCGCUUUAAGUCAAAUAUUUAAAAAAUGUGUUAUGAAAUGUGAAUACUAUGUAACCUAGUCCCGUCUGUGAUAUAAACUUUAUGCCAAACCAUUCCUGACAUUUCAGA
rnacentral:misc_RNA from 1 species